rnacentral:rRNA from 1 species
AAUAGCGUAUAUUAAAUUUGUUGCAGUUAAAAAGCUCGUAGUUUGAAUUCUGGCCGGAGCGGUUGGUGCGACUCUCUGAGUUGUUACUUGCAUCGUCUCUGGCCAUCCUUGGGGAGAACCUGUCUGGCAUUAGGUUGUCGGGCAGGGGGUACUCAUCGUUUACUGUGAAAAAAUUAGAGUGUUCAAAGCAGGCUUACGCCGUUGAAUAUACUAGCAUGGAAUAAUAAUAUAGGACCCUUGUACUAUUUUGUUGGUUUGUGCACGAGGGUAAUGAUUAACAGGGACAAUUGGGGAUAUUUGUAUUUCAGUGGAAGAGGUGAAAUUCUUGGAUUUCUGAAAGACAAACAACUGCGAAAGCAUUUAUCAAGGAUGUUUUCAUUAAUCAAGAACGAAAGUUAGGGGAUCGAAGAUG